GCCCGAGUGGUGAAACUGGUAGACGCACUGGACUCAAAAUCCAGCGGUAGCGAUACCGUGCCGGUUCGAUUCCGGCCUCGGGCACCA
rnacentral:tRNA from 2 species